AGCAGCCGCGGUAAUUCCAGCUCCAAUAGCGUAUAUUAAAGUUGUUGCAGUUAAAAAGCUCGUAGUUGAAUUUCGAGACCGGUUUACUGGUCGUGCUUUUGUACGUACUGGUAUAAUCGGUUUCUCUUUUCUGACGAACUAUAAUGCCAUUAAUUUGGUGUUAUAGGGAAUCAGGACUGUUACUUUGAAAAAAAUUAGAGUGUUUAAAGCAGGCUCACGCUUGAAUACAUUAGCAUGGAAUAACGAAAUAGGACGUUUGAUUCUAUUUUGUUGGUUUCUAGGAUCGACGUAAUGAUUAAUAGGGAUAGUUGGGGGCAUUAGUAUUCAAUUGUCAGAGGUGAAAUUCUUGGAUUUAUUGAAGACUAACUACUGCGAAAGCAUUUGCCAAGGAUGUUUUCAUUAAUCAAGAACGAAAGUUAGGGGAUCGAAGACGAUCAGAUACCGUCGUAGUCUUAACCAUAAACUAUGCCGACUAGGGAUCGGAUGAUGUUAAUAUUAAUGACUCAUUCGGCACCUUACG
rnacentral:sRNA from 1 species